CAUGCAAGUCGAACGAGAGAUGAGGAGCUUGCUCUUCAAAUCGAGUGGCGAACGGGUGAGUAACGCGUGAGGAACCUGCCUCAAAGAGGGGGACAACAGUUGGAAACGACUGCUAAUACCGCAUAAGCCCACGGCUCGGCAUCGAGCAGAGGGAAAAGGAGCAAUCCGCUUUGAGAUGGCCUCGCGUCCGAUUAGCUAGUUGGUGGGGUAACGGCCCACCAAGGCGACGAUCGGUAGCCGGACUGAGAGGUUGAACGGCCACAUUGGGACUGAGACACGGCCCAGACUCCUACGGGAGGCAGCAGUGGGGAAUAUUGCACAAUGGGGGAAACCCUGAUGCAGCGACGCCGCGUGGAGGAAGAAGGUCUUCGGAUUGUAAACUCCUGUUGUUGAGGAAGAUAAUGACGGUACUCAACAAGGAAGUGACGGCUAACUACGUGCCAGCAGCCGCGGUAAAACGUAGGUCACAAGCGUUGUCCGGAAUUACUGGGUGUAAAGGGAGCGCAGGCGGGAGAACAAGUUGGAAGUGAAAUCCAUGGGCUCAACCCAUGAACUGCUUUCAAAACUGUUUUUCUUGAGUAGUGCAGAGGUAGGCGGAAUUCCCGGUGUAGCGGUGGAAUGCGUAGAUAUCGGGAGGAACACCAGUGGCGAAGGCGGCCUACUGGGCACCAACUGACGCUGAGGCUCGAAAGUGUGGGUAGCAAACAGGAUUAGAUACCCUGGUAGUCCACACCGUAAACGAUGAUUACUAGGUGUUGGAGGAUUGACCCCUUCAGUGCCGCAGUUAACACAAUAAGUAAUCCACCUGGGGAGUACGACCGCAAGGUUGAAACUCAAAGGAAUUGACGGGGG
rnacentral:rRNA from 1 species